CUUACAUCCAUACUGCCAAGUGAGUUCGGAGUUGGGGCUGUGAAGUUGCUCUCAACACCACGGCUUAUUUCCAAACUUGUGAAAUCAAUCCCAUACAAUUUUCCCACAAGCUCAUGUGUGGAAAGCACAAAUGUAAUUCCCUACAGAGGGAGAGAGCUAGCAAUAGAAGAAUCACAGCACUGAAUAUGAUGGAAAGGGU
rnacentral:lncRNA from 12 species